UUUGCCUGUGUAUCUUUACAUUGAUUUUUUUUUUCAUUUGUAUGCUUUUUGCUCAUGUUCUGGAUUUCCUUCCACUAUUCAUGUUGCUUUGUUCAUUUAUGUUGUUCAAAUAAAGCAUUAAUAAACACUUAAUUUAUUUGUAUAACCUGUUCUAUGGUCAUUCGUAGACUGUUUCACUGUCACUGUUGGGUUGAGGCUCCAUGUUUACUAUCACAAUAAUUCUAUGGUGAAUUUUUAGAUUUAAAUUGUGGUAGAACUUUGGGUCAAAUCUAUGGCCUCUUCUCUGUUAGGCAAGCCAUGUAUUUUGUGGUAUUUUUGUGUGUAGCUUUUAAGUAAUGAUUUUGACCAUUAUUAGCUCUGAGUACUUGACUUCUCUUCCGGUUUUGUCCUCUUGAUGACUGCAUCUUGAAUAGAUCACUUAUCUGCUUUAAAUAAAUCAGGCUGAACAAAAUGAAACUUACACACCAGAUGCCUUCCAUAGUUUUCUCUACUGCGGGUGUGGGAAACAUACACACAGCAUCUGGAGGUGCUAACUUCAGUUGAUAAAGUUGUAAAUUUGGCCAGUAAAAUGUUAAUAAUUUGUUAUUUUAUUCAUCAGUAUAUUUAUUUAAAAAUACAUAAUUUGUUCUCUAGGUUACAGGUGAACCUGAAAUGAUUGGAACUGAAGUUAUUUCAGAAUUCUUAAUUAACAGUGAAGAAUCUAAAGUGGUAAUUGUUUUAAUCAUUUUCUGUCUUUUGCCUUUCUAAGCUUGUAAACUGAAAACAGAGCGUAAAAGAUGAACUUAAUUUCUGUAGCUAUGGCAUAUUUUAGCUUUUUGUUUGUUUUGUUUUGUUUUUGUUUUUGGAGACAGGGUUUCUCUGUGUAGCCCUGACUGUCUUAGACUCAUUUUGUAGUCCAGGCUGGCCUUGAACUCACAGAAAUUGACCUGCUUCUGCCUCCAGAGUGCUAAGAAUAAAGGUCUGUGCCACUACUCCUGGCUUAUUCUAGCUUUUUUAAGUCUGAACUUUGUAAGACUAGAAACCUAGAAUUGGUCAAAAGAAAUCUAUAGGAAAGUAGUAGUUUGUCUUUGGUUAAGUUCCUGGAGAAGCGGGGGCAAACUUUUCACCAUUUCUCGGUGUUAGCAUGGCAAAGGUACAGGCACUUAGGUGUACAGAAUUCUUUCUUUUUUGAAACAGGCUCACUGUAUAUCUUUGCCUGGUCUGGAACUCACUCUGUAGACCAGACUGGCCUUGAACUCACAGAGCUUGCCUGCCUUUCUUCUUGAGUGCUGGGAUUAAAAGUAUGUGCCACCACGCCCAGCCCAGAUGUUUAUUUUUUUUUAUUAAAAGUAUUCCUUUAGGGCUGGCAUUUAUUUAGUGUGUGCAAUGCCUCAUGUUUGAGUCCCAGUACUAUAAAAGAAAAAAAUAGUAUUUUUGAGGAUCAAGACAUCAUUUUUGAUUUGUUUUUUUGCCUGGUUUGGUGGUGCACACCUUUAGUCCUGGAACUCAGAGGCAGGUAGGUCCCUAUGAGUUUGAGGCCAGCCUAGUCUACAUAGCAAGUAUCAGACUAGCCAAAGCUAUAUAGUAAGACCCUAGCUCAAUAGCAAAACAACC
rnacentral:lncRNA from 1 species